CCUAUCCCAAUUUCCAAUCCAACUGUACAGAAGCAUUUUUGGUUUCCAUGCUUUCAACUCUCAUUUCACUUCAUCCCCACCUCCCAAAUUACCGCGUACCUUACACCACCCAUUCACAAAACCUUGUUACGUGGAAGCGUAGAUUCCACGCCCCCCCAAUUUUUUUUUUUACUCUUUCAACUUACACAUGUCCGCCGACACAACUUGAAAGCUUCAAAAACCCAAUCAAAAUGCUAUCAAGAUUCCAGUUCAUUCCAAGUAAGUAAAACAGAGAAUUUAAUAUUAAACUAAAAAAAAAAGAAAAAAAAGGAAAAAACAGAUAGGCUAGCGAGGCGUAUAUAUAUGCGAGUUCAUAGCUGUCUUCCCAAUCUACUACUCCUACUCCGAAAACCUCUAUAUCUCUUUCUCUUUCUUUGUGUCAUUUUCACAAACACUUAACUCGCCCUAGAUCUCUCCUCGAUAAUUAUGACUUUUUUGUAGAACCUUCCUCACACUCUUUCUCUCUCUUUUUUUUCUUUGAAAUGCAUCAUUUCUGAGUUGAUCCUCCUUGAAGCUCAGAAACGAGAUUCAAAAAAUGGACGGUGGUGAUGGAACGGUGAGGUUAGGUGCUCUGAACAUGAAGCCGGAUCGGGUCGGAUUGGAUUCGGGUCCGGAUGUGUCCGUUUCGUCACCCGUUACCCGGCAGAAAGCCGCGGCGGCUAAACAGUUCAUUGAGAAUCACUACAAGAACUAUCUCCAAGGACUUCAGGAUCGCAAAGAAAGGCGGCGGGCGCUUCAAAUUAAGGCGGAAGAAGCUCAGGUAUCAAGUGAGGAACAAGAGGAGAUGCUGAGAAAUUUGGAGCGGAAAGAAACAGAAUACAUGAGGCUGCAGAGACGUAAAGUCGGAAUUGAUGACUUUGAGCAAUUAACUGUAAUUGGUAAAGGUGCAUUUGGCGAGGUUAGAAUUUGUCGAGCUAAAGGUACGGGAGAGAUUUAUGCAAUGAAGAAAUUGAAGAAAUCAGAGAUGCUUAGCCGUGGACAGGUUGAGCAUGUUCGAUCAGAGAGGAACUUGCUUGCAGAGGUUGAUAGUCGGUGCAUUGUAAAACUCUUUUAUUCUUUUCAAGAUUCUGAUUUCUUGUACCUUAUCAUGGAGUAUUUACCGGGUGGGGACAUUAUGACAUUACUGAUGAGAGAGGAUAUUCUUUCUGAAGAUGUUGCACGAUUUUACAUAGCAGAGAGCAUUCUAGCUAUUCACUCAAUUCAUCUGCAUAAAUAUAUUCAUAGGGACAUAAAACCAGAUAACCUGAUACUGGAUAAAAGUGGACAUUUGAAGCUUUCAGAUUUUGGCUUGUGCAAGCCACUGGAUGAUAAAUAUUCAACAAUAUUAUUAGAAAAUGAGGAUUUAUUCACUCAGGAAUCCACAUCUGAAAGUGAAGGACAUCCUGGCUGUGAUAGAGUCCCUUGGUUGAUGCCAAAGGAACAAUUACAACAAUGGAAACGUAAUCGUCGUGCGUUGGCUUAUUCAACUGUUGGUACUCUUGAUUAUAUGGCACCUGAAGUUUUGCUUAAGAAGGGGUAUGGAAUGGAGUGCGAUUGGUGGUCACUGGGGGCAAUCAUGUAUGAGAUGCUUAUUGGCUAUCCUCCCUUCUGUUCUGAAGAUCCAAGGAUUACAUGCCGGAAGAUAAUCAAUUGGAAAACGUGCUUGAAAUUCCCUGAGGAACCAAAAAUAUCAGAGGAGGCUAGGGAUCUGAUAUGUCAUUUGUUAUGUGAUGUUGAAACAAGGUUGGGCACCCAAGGAGUGGAAGAAAUAAAGGCACAUCCAUGGUUCAGAUGCACUCAGUGGGACAUGCUAUAUGAAAUGGAAGCUGCAUAUAGACCUACUGUAAAUGGAGACUUAGACACUCAGAAUUUUGAAAAGUUUGCUGAAGUAGAAGGUCCACCAUCCACAAUACCAACUAUGGGACCCUGGCGGAAGAUGUUGGCAUCUAAAGAUAACAAUUUCAUAGGAUUUACUUUCAAGAAGUCAGAUGCCCGUAAAGCACUUGAAAGUUCAGGAUGCUGAUUCAGCUUAAUGUGAACAUACUUAAGGAGAUACAGAUUUUAGAUCAAAUGGAUCUUCGAAGGCCCCAUCACUAAUUUCCUUGUUAGGUCGGAUUGACUUGCAAGAGACUGUGAUACCAGAGGGGGAGCAGAAGCAGGAAACUUGAGUUUAAAUAUCUUCCUGUUCUGCUUCAAUUGGAUUGGGUAUUAAUAUUUUCUUCAAACACACACAAGAGUGAGAGAAUGAUUUGGUGAAAUUUUCACUCUGUGAAAACAUGAAUAAGGUCAUGAUCUUGAAGCACAAUUCUUUGUUUCUCCCCUCCCCUCAGUAUGUUGUAUCGCAUAAGUGCCACAGCAAAGCCAAUAAUAAUUCAGUUCAAAACGUCCUGCUUGCGAAGCAAAAGGCUAAAUUAUAGUUUUGAUUCUAUCUGUAUAUCCGAUGUUAACAUAGUAUCACCUCAUUCAAUUCAAUUUUGUCGGUUGGAAGUGGAUAUAUUUUUGUAAUUUAUUCAAUUUUUUCAUAUGAAUGCUUUGGACAUCAGUAUCAAGAGCAAUCUUAUUAUGAGCUUCCAUUUUUCUAUAAAUGCUUUGGACAUUGGUACUA